AGCUUUGCGCAGUGGCAGUAUCAUAGCCAAUGAGGUUUAUCCGAGGAGCAAUUAUUGCUAAUUGAAAGCCCAUUGCUAUAUAAGGAUAAGAAAUAUCUCUCCAUGCCACAGAAUUUGAAUUUUUUGAAUUUUCUAACCAAU
ensembl:snRNA U4 U4 spliceosomal RNA